rnacentral:rRNA from 1 species
GACGAACCGUGCGAACGUUGUUCGGAAUCACUGGGCUUAAAGGGCGCGUAGGCGGCCCGCCGCGUCCGGGGUGAAAUCCUCCCGCUCAACGGGAGAACGGCCUCGGAUACGGGCGGGCUGGAGGGGGGUAGGGGCAGGCGGAACUGUGGGUGGAGCGGUGAAAUGCGCAGAUAUCAGGAGGAACACCGAUGGCGAAGGCAGGUCUCUGGGCCACUACUGACGCUGAGAAGCGAAAGCAUGGGGAGCGAACAGG